rnacentral:rRNA from 1 species
UACGUAGGUGGCGAGCGUUGUCCGGAAUUAUUGGGCGUAAAGAGCAUGUAGGCGGUUUUUUAAGUCUGGAGUGAAAAUGCGGGGCUCAACCCCGUAUGGCUCUGGAUACUGGAAGACUUGAGUGCAGAAGAGGAAAGGGGAAUUCCCAGUGUAGCGGUGAAAUGCGUAGAUAUUGGGAGGAACACCAGUGGCGAAGGCGCCUUUCUGGACUGUGUCUGACGCUGAGAUGCGAAAGCCAGGGUAGCGAACGGG